CAUAAAUGUGUGUUUUAUGGAAAUGUGCGGGUAUGUAAAUGUGUGUAUGUAACUGGGUAUUGUAUCCAAAUGUGUAUUGCUUGUGCUAGGUUUUUGGUUUUUUUUAAUCAGAAAGAUAACUCUGAUGACCUAGAAACCUUUGCAGAGUUGCUGUGCAUGAGGGAGGUAGACACUGGGGACCAUUAUGAGUUGUAGUCGGAGCUGCCACAUCCCCCCACCCCCACCAUAAGGGAGUGCACACAGUAGGGAGAUACUUGGUGUCCAGCUGGGAGGGGGAGGGAGCAGUGCUAGUUCCCGUGCCAGCCCUAAAAGCAACAUUUCUGUAGUUAAGGUGGGAAAUCCUCGCCAUUCUUCAGGCUGUUUUUGUCUUCCCAGCCCUUUCCUUCUGUUUUUCAGCGUAUUUAGCCUCCUAGAUCAGCUCCUCCGGAAGUGCGGCCAGUAGUUAUGGGUGGAGAGGGCCCUUGCCCACUCCUGUGUCUCCUCUCUCACCUCCCCUAGGUUCUGGCUGUGCAUUGAGGUGUGGAUUCCCUUGGGAUGACUUAAAUGCACACGCUAUGCUUGCCGGGCUAGCUGUUGGGCUCUUAACCCCUGUGGAGAUGCAUGAUCUUGCCUGGGAGCUGAAAUGCCUACUGGGAGUGCAGAGCCUAGGACCCUCUCUUAACCAGACUUGCAGCAUAUAUCCCCCCAAAAUAGCUCCCUCAAGCUGUCAGCCUGCCUGCCCACUGUGCAAAUAACCAACACAGCAUGUAAGCUCACUCUUUGGAAACAGAAUGAAAUUCAGGCCCGGCUGCUUUUUGAGCCUCUGCCCUUUUGGUUUCUUAUUCUGAGCAGUCUUGUGAUUCGUUUCUCGGAGGAGGCAGAGGAACAGACAGAUUUCACAGAUGCUCAAGGGCUCCCUUCUGUUUGGUUUGUCAGUCCUUUGUCAUGGCUGGCCGGGAUCUGAGCUGUUCACUCUUUCUAUUAGAGGUUAGACUUCAUAGAAUAGAGAGAGAGAGAAAAUAUAUAUAUAUAUAUUCGUGUGUGUGUAUGUGUGUGUUUUCCCCCCAUUUACCAUCUCAGCAACCCUCUAAUCAUUCAGUGGGGAGGUAUGACCUUGAGCAGCUGGAGAGAAACAUAUAGCAUUGGAAAUUAACAUUGUUGAAUGUUUUAUCUUUACAGUUUGUUGUUGGUUUAAAGCCUUUUUAACAAAAAGAAAAAUCUUUGUCUCAAAACCAGAAUUAAACUGAGACCCUUGGCUCUAAAGGGGUUUGUGAACUCAGAGACCUGGAACCCUUUCUAUGGUGUUAAGUAUAAGAAGCUGCUCCUACCUUUAGCUCUGUACAGGAUUCUGUGGCUCCAGGAGGAACUUUGAAGCUUGGUGAACUGCAAGAUAAUCUUAGGCAAAGCUACAUAGUAAUCAAGUGCAAGACUGUGUGUCAUCUUGCAGUGGCUGCACAGAAUUCAGAGAAGGGAGCUUCCUGGGAGAGCUGUUUUGCUCUUUUCCCAGGAGUCUGUUCAUGUAGGGGGUGAAACUGGAGCUGCUACUGCUAACCCUCAGUUCUCAUUUGUCACUUGCAUUUUCAUGCAUUAUUAUCAAACUCAGUCUUCACAAGGACUCUGUGGCCGAGAAGUUGCCACUGCCGUGUGACUGGGGAAGGAAGUUGCUGCCUCCACUUUCCCGGGGGUGAUGAGAUUACCAGAUUAAGUGAUCACCAUCUAACUAGUCAGACUCAAUAAUUCAGGAAAUGUAGUGCCUUUUAUUUCUUUUACUAGAACCUUUUUCAGUAAAAAAUAUUUAUUUUUAUGGUUAUACAUGAAUUGCUUUUAGUUUUAGGGGGAAGCGGAUACAGUUCUGUGAGUUUUAACUCAUGAUUUGUGUAAUCGAUACCACAACCAGGAUACAGAAGAGUAGAAUCUUGCCAGGGUGUUGGUGGUAUAGUGGUUGGCGUAGCUGCCUUCCAGAAGAGGGGAAUCUGGAUUUUUCUCUAGCUCCCUGUUUAAUCCUUGCUGUCCCGAGUUGUCCUAAUGAGUACUCAGAGCUGUUUUUCAGGAGGUGGGGCUUUGCAUACACUGGAACAGGUGGUGAGGUCUAACCUAGUUUUAGAGUCCAAAACUCACUUUGUAGACUUCUUUUUAGAGGCACGGUCUCACUGUGUGCCCAGGCUGGACUCAAACUCCUGGGCCCAAGUGAUCCUCCCGCUUGAGCUUCCUGAGUAGCUGGGACUGAAGGUGCAUUCCACCAUACCUUGCUCACGCCUUUGUUUUUAAGGACUGUGAUUGUAUGUUUUUUUCUUAUUAACAAGUUACAUAUAUUCAUUUUAGAAAAUAAAUAAGAAAAAGGAUAAAAAUUGUAUUACUCCAUUUUCAUGCUGCUGAUAAAGACAUACCCAAGACUGGGCAAUUUAUAAAAGAAAGAGGUUUAUUGGACUUGUAGUUCCACAUGGCUGGGGAGGCCUCACAAUCAUGGUGGAAGGCAAGAAGGAGCAAGUCACAUCUUACAUGGAUGGCGGCAGGCAAAGAGAGAAUUUGCCAGCAGGGGAAAUGCCAGAUGCUUAUAAAGCCAUCAGAUCUUGGUUCACUCACUGUCACGAGAACAGCAUGGGGGGAACUGCCCCCAUGAUUCAGUUAUCUCCACCUGGCCCCGCCCUUGACACAUGGGGAUUAUUACAAUUCAAGGUAAGAUUUGGGUGGGGACAUAGAGCCAAACAACAUCAAAAAUUGUAAAAAUCAAAUUACCUUCCUUUUCCCAGAGAUAACCACAGUUGACAUACAGAAUAUGUGCUUCAUGUAUCUUACAUUACAUUUUGUUGAGGGACCUGGUUUUUAAUUGUUAUUAAUAUAUUGUGAACAUUUUCCAUUUAAAUUUUAAAAAGAUGUUUUCACUGAAUCUGUAAUACUCUAGGGUUCCCUUUUGUUAGGAUUGAGUUUAUUGCCCCACUUCUCUCUCCCGUUUGUUUGCUGUUAAGUUAGUGCUGUGGUGAACAUUGUUGAGGCCUAAGUUUGUUUUUUUGUUUGUUUGUUUUUGAGAUGGAGUUUUGCUCAUUUUGCCCAGGCUGGAGUGCAAUGGCACAAUCUUGGUGCGCUGCAACCUUUGCCUGCUGGGUUCAAGUGAUUCUCCUGCCUCAGCCUCCUGAGUAGCUGGGAUUACAGGCACGCACCACCACACCUGGCUAAUUUUUGUAUUUUUAGUAGGGAUGGGGUUUCACCAUGAUGUCCAGGCUGGUCUCAAACUCCUUACCUCAGGUGAUCCACCUGCCUUGGCCUCCCAAAGUGCCGAGAUUACAGGUGUGAGCAACCAUGCCUGGCCUGAAGCUUAAGCUUAUAUAUACAUCCUCAAUUUACUCCUUAGCAUCAAAUGAUAAAGCAAUAUUGAGGUAAGGAUUUUGCAUAUUUUAAAGGGUUUUGAUAUCUGUUGUGAAAGAGUCUUCCAGAAAUGUACCUUUUUAUGCUUUUGCCAGCAGUACCCCAGAGAGUCCAUGAGAACAUCCUGCUUACAAGGCAGCAAACCGGUAUGCGAUGCCCACCAGUAAGAGUAAGAUGGCUCUUAGAGGAGUAUUUUGUUUUAUUUUAAUUUGUAUUUACUUUUCACCUUUUAUUUUAGACUCAGGGGAUACAUGUCCAGGUUUGUUAUAAAGGUAUAUUGUGUGAUGCUGAGAUUUGGAGUCUGAUUGAGCCCAUCACCCUGUGGUGAGCAGAGUACCUAAUGGGUAGUUUUUCACACCUUGCUCCCCUCCCUCCCUCCUUUAGGAGUCCCCAGUAUCUAUUUUUGCCAUCUUCAUGUCCAUGUGUACCCAGUGUUUAACUCCCAUUUCUAAGUGACAACAUGCAGUGUUUGGUUUUCUAUUCCUGCAUUAGUUCACUUAGGAUAAUGACCUCCAGCUGCAUCCAUGUCACUGCAGAGGACAUGAUUUCCUUCUUUUUUAUAACUGCGUGGUAUUCCAUGGUGUAUGUGCACCAUAUUUUCUUUAUCCAGUCCACCAUUGAUGGGCACCUGGGUUGAUUCUGUGUCUUUGCUAUUGUCAAUAGCACUGUAAUGAACAUAUGGGUGCAUGUGUCUUUUUGGUAGAACAAUUUGUUUUCAUUUGGGUAUAUACCCAGUAAUGGGAUGGCUGGAUCAAAUUGUUCACUCUCAGUUCUUUGAGAAAUCUCCAAAGUUCUCUGCACAGUGGCUGCACUAAUUUACAUUCCCACCAACAAUGGAAUGAUUAAGUGUUCUAGAGGAUUACUUUAUAUAAUGAAGCUCAUGUGUGUCAUAGCACACAUAGAUUGCAUGAGACAUUCGUGCACAGCACAGUGCAUUCUUACAUGGGUAUACCUGUGUCACUACCACCCAGAUCAAGGUAAAGAAUGUUCCUAGUUCCAGAUGCAGUGGCUCAUGCCUAGCCUGUAAUCUCAGCCACUUGGGAGCUGACGUGGGAGAAUUGUUUGAGACCAAGAGUUCGAGACCACCUUGGGAAACACAAAGAGAGCCCACCUUUCCUAAAAAAUAUUCUAAAAAAUUAGCCAAGCAUGGUGGUGAAUGCCUGUAGUCCCAGCUACACUAAAGGCUGAGGUGGGUGAGGCUGCAGUGAGCUGUGUUUGUACCACUGCACUCCAGACUGUGGUACAAGCUGACAGAGUGAGACCCCAUCUCGAAAAGAAAAAAGAAAAACAUUCUUAGCAUCCUGAAGAUUCCCACCUGCCCCUUCCCCAUCAGUACCUCCCUGUCUCCAGAGGUAGCCAUUAUUCUGAGUUCAUCACCAAUACUUAAUUGUUUUAUCUGUAAGAUUCAUCCAUAUCGCAUAGAGCAGUACUAUCUUUAUAUUGCUGUGUAGUAUGCCACUGUACAACUAUACUACAGUUUAUUUACCUGGUGUCCUAUCGGUAGACUUUUGGUUUGUUUCCAAACCCGAAAGUUGCUACGAACGUUCUUUUACAUGUUUUCUUGAUGUUUGUAUACAUCACUUCCUUGGGCCAUAUAUACCUAGGAGUGGGAUUGCUAGGCCAUGGAUUCAUUGUAUAUUUACCCUUAGUACAAGGUCUUUCAACUUGGGCCAGAUAAUUCUUUGCUGGUGGGGGGCUGUCCUGACCACUGCAGGAUGUUUAGCAGCAUCCCAGGCCUCUACCCACUGAAUGUUACUAGCACCCCUCCUCCCCAUUUGUAGCAAACAGACAUGUCUCCAGACAUUGCCAAAUGUCCCCUGGGGGGCAAAGGCACCAGGUAUUGAGAACCACUACUUUAGGAAGUGCUGCCAAACAGUUUUCCAAUUUACACUCCCACCAGCAAUGGAUGAGAUGUGCCUCGUAUUAGUUCAGCCGGCACAUUGAGCCCUGCUGGGAUAAAACGAGAAGUUAGACAUGUCCCCUGGGGUUCAAUAGGAGAGACAGAGUGAAGGAAAAGAGAUAAGUGUCUCUGGUGAAUGCUGUGAUCAGGGAAAACAUGGAUUUCUGUGGGAUUCCAGAGAUGCCUCACUUCCUCCAGCUGGGUUGGAGAAGAGGCGGCAUUUCUGGAGGAGGUGGCCCCUGAGCUGCACCUUGAAGAACAAAUAAGUAGUCAGGUGAAGAGGAAGGAAGAGUGUCUCAAACAAGAGAGCCAUUUGAGCAAAGGGGAGAGAAGGCGUGCCAUUUUGCCCAUGGGCAGUCGCACUGGCCCCUAAACUGAGCUUCCUUACUUGAGACUUUCUUAAUGAAAAUAUCUUAAAAUUUAACACCUAUAAUUAUUACUAUUGCAAGUAACUGUAGCUAGAAUCCAAACUCCAGGUUCAGGCAUGGAUGUAGAUUUACGUAGCAAACCCUGGAUCCCACAGGGAGGGGGAUUUGCCAAGCAUAUUGAGAAAUGAGUACUUAGGGCAGAAUCCAUGGAGAAGCACUGGGGUCCUUCCUUUAAGGAAGGAGGAGGGAAAAUGACAGCAGAAGGGAAUGGGAUAAGACCUUUAUUGGUGAGAGGAAAUACAACAUGAUCUUGGGGGUGGGAGAAUACUGGAAUCCCUGAAAUAUCUGACUAUGGAGAAGGAAUGCUUGCCUAUCCUCCCACAGGGUAUAAAGAACUUUCCUUCCCCUCAUUUGUGAGUUGCAGGAAGAAUUAUUACAAAAGAAUGAAAAACCGGCCACAUUUAGGCAUAUAUUUAAGAAGUUACUUUCAUGAAAAAGUUUAGAACUACAAAUCCUUCCACUUCUUAUAUCAUUGCCAUUGCUGCCAACCUUAGCCAAGACAGCAUCACCCCUUGGCCAGGCUGGUGGGGCUUUCAUCCGCUUGGAUUCUCAGCCUCCACCUUUGUUGACUGCCCCUGCCCCGGUUUCAGUUUCCCCAGGCUGUGCUGGAAAAGUGAUGUUUUACAAACACAAGUUCAUAUACUCACUUCUCUGCUUAAACUCCUCCAGUAACUUCCCAUCCAAACCGAAGGGAAAUCCAGAUUCCUUAGCAUGGCCUCCGGGUCUCUAGGUCCACCCUGGUCUUCCUCUCUAUUGUCAACUUGUGGCACGCGUCCUACCAUUGUCUCUGGCCAUGUGAUCUUCUGUCUGCCAGGCCCUUGCCCGGAAUGUUCUUCCUGACUUUCAAACGGCAGCCCUUGGCUGCUGGCCUGGUCUUGUUUCCAGUGUCACUGUCUUUACCCAUCUAAAAUCACUACCUUCCCUCUGGUCUCCUAGCACUCAUUGCCACCUGCAUAAGCUAAUUUGUUUAUCAUGUGUGGAGACCUUGGACAUUCUGGUCAUAGUAUAUGGUAAAAAUGGGGCAGGUGCUCAGUUUUUUUUUGAAUGCUUGAAUGAACAAAGGAAUAGAUGGACGCAGAAGUAGAUUUUUAAGUGGGCACGGGAUUCGGUGCUGGUAAAAAAUGUUCACAAGCUGAGCAUUUCCAACAUCCAAAAUAGUGGAAGAGUUAAUGGGGCAGCUCCACAAAGGAGUGAGUUUCUUACCCCAGAGACACCAGUGCCACCAAAUACGAGAAUUUACGUCCUGGAUGGAAGACCAAACUUGAUGGCUACUGGGGAAUUUAAUACAGUCUUGGGCUUCUACAACCUGCUCACUUCCUGGUGGCCCAGAGACACCCAAGAUAGGCAGGAAUCUAUUAGGAAUUUACAGGGAAGCCAGCUGCUUGCACCCCUUUAUUCAUUUAACAAAUGCUUAUAUAUCACUUACUAUAUGCAGAUGCUUUUCUAAGCACUUUCUAACUUAUGUAAUCCUCACAACCAUCCUGUCAAGUGAAUACUGUCAUUAUCCCUAUUUUUAAAAUGAGGAAGUGGAGCUACAGAGUGCUCAAGAGUAGACUGGUCCCUUUGAUUAGGGGACUAGGAAGAAUCAUAUUAGAGCAAUGACUGUGGAACAUGGUAUAUGUGGGUCAGAUCAACUAAUUUAUAACAAGUCCCUUGCAAAGGGCUCUGAACCAAAGAUGAUCAUUGCAUAGCAAACCUGUCUUCCCCCAUUACCUUGUAUUCUGGGAAAUGGCUGCACCUCUUGGAGUGAGAUGGGACUGCUGCCUGGUUUCUGAACAGUGCAACGUAAGCAGACGUUCUCACUGAGGUCUGUCAUCUGCCUGCCCACGGGGGAAGAGAGACCCACAUGGGCAGAUGACAGGCCUCAGUGGGAAGUGGUCACUGCACUCAUCUCUGCCAGGCAGCAGACAGGAAGCCAGUAGAUAAAUUCAAUUUUGAUGUUUCAGAGCCUCCAGCAAGCUUCCCUGGCAAAAGCAACUGCAAAUGGAAUCUGUCACCUUAGGAGUAACCAGAGGGGGAAGAAGGAGAGACCUAUUUUUUCAAGUUUGAGAAACAGGGUUACAAAGAGAAUAUAAAGGAUCAGGAUACAGGGAGAUUUUUCUGGGAGGAAAGACUGUCAACAAGUGGAAUCACCCAGAGUGGUUAGUGAGCAUCUUUCUUAUUUGAGCACUUUUUUUUUUUUAGACAGAGUCUCGUUCUGUCACCCAGGCUGGAGUGUACUGGUGUGAUCACAGCUCACUGCAGCCUUGAACUCCUGGGCUCAAGCAGUCCUCCCACCUCAGUCUAAGACUGCAGUCUCAGCGGAGACUACAGAUAGGCGCCACCAUGCCCACCUAAUUUUUUUUAAUUUUUUUGUAAAGACAAGGUCUCACUAUGUUGCCUAAGCUGGUCUGAAACUCCUGCCUCAAGCCAUCCUUCCACCUCUGCCUCCCAGAGUGCUAGGAUUGCAUGCAUGAGCCACUGCACCUGGCUUAUUUGAGCACUUUAUGCGUUUGGGGAAGGUGACAUCUUCCACCAGUGCCAUCUUAAAUAAGUGUUCCCAGGAAUUCCACUGUUGAGUUUGUGGGUGUGGAUCACAUGAAGACGUGAGGUUCUGUGAGUAGACAUUCACUUCAGAAUGCACAUGUAAAGCAGUCUUCAUCUCCUUCCUUAUCUGACGUAAUGACAUUUGCUUCCUUCAGGUCCCAGCAUUGAAGGUAAAUACAAAUGUCCUAUUUGGUUUGCUCUUUAGUGCUGAUAUUUCAGCUGAAUUGCCUGUGUGUUUUCCUUGGCUGCAUUUUCUUAGGCGAGCUAGGGUGUUGGAGCACAGCCUGUGGCAUCUUAGGGGGAUGUGCAUUCAGAGUGCCAGUGGAGACCUGGAACAGAACGUCAUUGGAAAUUGAGACAACAGUUGUUUUUCUUUAAGAUCGAAAGAGGUAAAUUACAGGUAAAUAAUAGCAAGGGUAAACUCACACCUUGUAUUAUAAAUGUAUAGACUCGGUCUCUUCCAGAAGUGUAGCAGAGAAGAAAUACAAACAUUUUGAAAAAGAUUAGGUAAAUUUAGGAAGAAGGCAAGUGACACUGGGAAAAUUGGAAUAGUUGAGAGAGUGCAGCCCCCAUUUCUGAAGGUAGUGUGUGGGAUGCUUUGGUGGGAAGGAGGGAAGAUCCGCGGCUGUCUUUGGUUCUGCCUGUCAGAAAGGCAUUGCGAUGUGCACAGAGCUUUGGAGACACACAGACACUGGUCCCCGCUCUGCCUCUAGAUUGUCAUCUCCCAGAGGGGUGACUCCAGGCACCAGAUGGGAUUAUAUAGGGUCCUACACAGGAGACAUUCAGCCAAGUACCCUUUGCACUGUCUCUGUUGGGCUCCUAAGAGUGAUCCAAUGUUCGUAAUCCCAAACGACUAACCUAAGUCACAUGCACCUUGGGGUGUGCCAACAUUCCUUCACCCCAUCAGUUUAUCAGCUGCAGAGGUAGAAAUUUUAACAUGAAACUGAAGUAGAACAGCCCUGAGAAGUUUUUGAGUGUAGGCUUCAUAUCUUCUUUCAAAUACAUUUCAUACAUUUGGCGGAUAUUUAUAGAGUGCCUACCCUGCACCAGGCACUAUGUUAAAAACUGGGGAUUGAUAAGAAGAAGAGGUUCUAGCCCUCAAACAGCAUAACUCCUGGUGGUGAAGACAAACGGCCGAUCCACAGAUAGUUGCGAUGCAGUGUAAGAGGUGCUGACAUGAGCAGGUUGUCCUAGGUCCUAAGGGAACACCCAGGAGGAGACAGCGUGAAGGCAUCUUUAGAGCCACAGAAAACAUGAUAGAUGCAGAUGGUACCAAGGGAAACCAAAGGAUGACAUGAAGUUUCAUGCAGUAUAUUUUUUUAAUGAUUUAAAAAAUCUCCAUUGCAUUUGCUUUUUUAUACCUGCUCUCAAUCAUAAUCUUGUCUGUUUUUGCACAUCCUCCCUCUCUUCCCCUCCCCGCCCUUUUAUGAGAUGGGGGUCUGUGCUCUGUUGCCCAGGCUGGAGUGCGAUGGUGCGAUCACGGCUCACUGCAGCCCCUACUUCCCAGGCCCAAGCAAUCCUCCCUCCCCAGCCUCCUGAGUAGCUGGGACUACAGGAGUGUGCCACCAUACCUAAUUUUUUGCUCGAAAUUCUGCUCCCUAACAGCACCAGAAUAUCUCCCUCUGAAACAGAAUAGGGAGGUUGGCAAGCUGGGAGUCUGGCUCUGGGUGGGAGUGUGGAUGGCUGUGCCUGAGUUCUGAGCUGCCACCAGUAGUCUGAUUCAUAUUUCCAUUAGGGAGUGCAACUAAAGGUAAUAUUUACCACAAAGCACAGUAAGUCCUCACUUAACAUCAUCAGUAGGUUCUUCUGCAACUUUAAGCAAAACAAUGUACAGCAGGCCCUUGAAUAAUGUCUUUUUGUUAUAAUGUUGAUGAGAAGAAAUACUGGUUUUCUUACAUUAUUUUGCUUAAAGUCACAAUUUCCAAGAACCUGUUAAUGACUUACUGUAUGUUACCCUGAAACUUGGACUGGGAAGGCAGGUGGUGGUUGUGGAGUUAAAAACAAAAGGAGGACUUUUUAUUAGUAGUUGUGAUAUUGCAUGCAAUCUUUAAAAAAAUUAUGCAUGUGAAAAUACAUACAGUCGACUCUUGAACAACACAGGUUUGCACUGUGUGGGUCCACUUAACACAGAUUUUCUUCGACCUCCGCCCUUGAGACAGCAAGGCCAACCACUCCUCUUCCUCCUCCUCCUCCUGAGCCUACUCAGUGAAGAUGAUGAGGAUAAAGACGUUAGGAUGGGCCGGGCGCGGUGGCUCAUCCCUGUAAUCCCAGCACUUCGGGAGGCCGAGGAGGGUGGAUCAUGAGGUCAGGAGAUCGAGACCAUCCUGGCUAACAUGGUGAAACCCCGUCUCUAUUAAAAAUACAAAAAAUUAGCCGGGUGUGGUGGCGGGCGCCUGUAGUCCCAGCUACUCAGGAGGCUGAGGCAGGAGAAUGGUGUGAACCCAGAAGGUGGAGCUUGCAGUGAGCCAAGAUCACGCCAUUGCACUCCAGCCUGGGCAACAGAGCGAGACUCCGUCUCAAAAAAAAAAAAGACUUUAGGAUGAUCCAUUUUCCCUUAAUGAAUAGAAAAUAUGUUUUUUCUGCCUUAUGAUUUUCUUAAUAUCACUCAACAGUAGGCUAUUAGUAGUUGAGUUUUGGGGAAGUUGAAAAUUAUACAUAGAUUUUCAACUGGGUUGGAGUCAACCCCUUAACCCCUGCAUUGUUCAAGGGCCAACUGUAAUUUCGUUGAUAAGCAUUAAUAUAAUAUUAUACAUGGUUCUUGACUGGAGUCCUUUUUCUGACCCUUUUCCCUUUUUUGUUGGAAUUUCCCUCCCUUCUCCUUCUCUAUCUCUGUCCACAUAACCCAUGUAGAAAACUUGGUGCUCAUACAUGAACACAUUUUUGCAUACAUGUACGUGUGUAGGGUUUUUCUUUUGGGGGGAGAGUUCAUUGUUUAACAAAUAACGGGUUUGUUUUAUAUACCUUUUGUCAAGCUCUUCUCAUGAAUAUCUUCUAUUUUACUUCAUUUUUUAAAACUUUUAUUAAAUGCCUUUUUAGCAUUUGUUGCUAUUAUUGCUAUGAUUCUGUAGUCUUUUCCAUAUUUAAUUUGUUGAUGAAGUGAAUUUUAUUGAUUUCCUGGUACUGAGGUACCCUUAUGUUCCUGGGAUAAACCCAGGUUGGUCUCAGUAUGUAGUUCUCUUUGAUAUACAGCUGAAUUAUGUUAUUUGCUAAUAUUAGUUCAGAGUUUCUGUAACAAAUCAAUCAUAAGCCAGAUUUGUUAAUAAUUUCUCAUCUCUCAAGUUUGGGAAUUAAAAUUAUGCUUGGCUUCAUAAAUGAAUUGGUUUAUUAUUUCUUAAUUGCCUUUUGCCAUUUAAUAGUAGAAUUACGGGUUAGAUAAAACUCAGCUGUGAACCUGUCUGGUCAUGGUGACUUUUUCUGAUUUUUUCCACUUACUGAAUCAGUUCGAUGACUUAUAUUUAGGAAAUCAUUUGUUUCUUCUAAGGCUUUCAAAUUUGUUGACAUGAAGUUCCAUGCAGUAUAUAUUUUUAAUGAUUUAAAAAAUUUCUACUGCGUUUGCUUUUUUAUACCUGCUCUCAAUCAUAAUCUUGUCUGUUUUUGCACAUCCUCCCUCUCUUCCCCUCUCUGCCCUUUUUUGAGAUGGGGGUCUGUGCUCUGUUGCCCAGGCUGGAGUGCGAUGGGACAAUCACGGCUCACUGCAGCCUCUACUUCCUAGGCCCAAGCAAUCCUCCCACCCCAGCCUCCUGAGUAGCUGGGACUACAGGCGUGUGCCACCAUACCUGACUAAUUUUUUUUCCUUAAUUUUUUGUAGACAGGGUCUUGCUAUGUUGCCUAGGCUGGUCUUGAGCUCCUGGGCACAAACAGUCUUCCCACUUCAGCCUCCCAAAGUGCUGGGAUUACAGGUAGUGUGAGCCACUGUACCUGGCCUCUCUCCCUUUUCGUUUACUCUUCCCCUACCUUUCCCCUCACCACCCCCACCACACUCACCUUUUCUUUAUCUUAUGCUUAAUUGGGCAUUUGAGGGGUUUUUCUAUUUUAUUGGUCUCUUCAGAGAGCCAGCUUUGGGCUUACAUGUCCUUUUUUAUUUUUUAUUAGUUUGAACUUUUAUCUUUUUUGUAAAAUCUUCCUUUUGAAGUAGAAGCUGUCCUUUUCUAAUUGCUUAAGAUUAGUGCAAAGUUCCUUUUUAUUUGUAAAAUACCUUCAUUAAUAUUGAAGGCGUUUGACACUAAAGUCUCUCCUCAGAGUAAAUCUUCUGGAGCAUUCUAUAAAUUUUGAUAUGAAGUGUUCUCUUUUCCAUUGCUUUCAAGAUAUCCUCCAGUUCCCCUUUUGAUUUCUUCUUUGAUCUAAGAAUAUGUUUCUUAAUUUCUAAGUAGUUAAGAUUUUUUGGUUACCUGAUUAUUUAAUCCUAAUUUUAUUGGAUUGUGAUCAACGAAGUAUCCUUUAAAUUUUUAAUUUUAAAGGUUUGCAAAGGUUUUCUUUGUUGCCAAAUAUGCAGUUAAUCUUUAAAAAUGUGGCAUAGGUGUAAGAAAAAAUGUAUAUUCUUAUUUGAGGGAAGUAAGGGUAUCUGUUGAUCUAUUUCUCUUCUUCAUGUCUUUAUUAUUUUCUCUCUGGGAAAUAUUCUCAUUUGAGAAAUAACUUUUUGUCAUGUUCUUGAAUUUUAAGAAUUUUUAGUUGCUGUAUUAUUUGGUGCCCACAUACGUCUACCUUUUAUAUUUCUUCCAAAACCAUGCGUUUAGUAAUACCACUCUAUCCAUCAGUGCGUUUAAGCUCAAGUCCAGCUUGUCUGCUGUUAAUUUUGCCAUCCCUGCCUUCUUCUUUGCAUUUGCCUGGUAUCUCCUUGUUUUGUGUAUUAUUUUCAACCCUAUUUGUCCUUUUAGGUAUGUCUCUUGAACAGCAUAAAUUUAUAUAUAUUUUUAACACAACCUUAUAGGCCCUUUAGUUGGAUAAAUCAAUCUGUACACAUUUAAAGUAAUAAUAAACAGGCUUGAUUUUAUUUCUUCCACCUUAUUUUGUUGAUUCAGCUUUUUUUCUCAUUUCCCCAUUUUUGAUGUUUUGAUCAAGUUGUUUAUCCUUUUUUUUUACUUGAUAAUAUGGAAGUUCUUCACUUUCCAUUUUUUUAGUAACAGCUUUAUUAUAAAAUAAUUCAGCCAUUUAGUGUGUACAGUUCAGUGGCUUUUAGUAUAUUCACAGUUGGUGAAACUAUUUUCAUCACCCCAUAAAGAAACUUUAGCCAUCUAAAUUACCAUUAAUCUCCUUUCUGUCUCUUUAGCUUUGCCUAUUCUAGACAUUUCAUAUAAAUGGAAUCAUAAUAUGUGGACUUUUGUGACUGGCUUCUUUCAGUUAGUGUAAUGUUUUCAAGCUUCAUCCAUAUUGUCACAUGUCUCAGUAUUUCAUUCCUUUUUCUUGUUGAAUAAUAUUCCAUUGAGUAUAUAUACCACAUUUUGUUUAUUCAUCAGUUGAACAUUUGGGUUGUUUUCACCUAUUGGCUAUUAUGAAUAAUGGCAAAACCUUUAUGUACAGGUUUUCUUGUGGACAUAGUUUUCAUUUUUCUUGGGUAUAUACCCAGGAGUGGAAUUGCUGGGUCAUCUGAUAACUCCGUGUUCAACGUUUUGAGAAACUACCAGGCUGUUUUCCAAAGUGACUGUACCAUUUUACAAUCCCAGUGGCAGUGUAUGAAGGUUCCAGUUUCUUCAUAUUCUUGCCAGCACUUGUUAAUGCCUGUUGUUUUGAUUCCAGCCUUCCUGGUAGGUGUGAAGUGGAAGCUCAUUGAGGUUUUGACUUGUGUUUCCUGAAUGACUCAUGAUGUUGAGCAUCUUCUCAUAUGCUAACUGUCCAUUUGCAUAUCCCAUUUGGAGAACUGUCUAUCAAAGUCUUUUGCCCACUUUUAAAUUGAGUCAUUUGUCUUUUUAUUGAGUUGUAAGAGCUCUUUAUAUAUUCCGAAUAUUCCUUAUAUAGUCUUAUCAGAUAUAUGACUUCCAAGUUUUUUCUUCCAUUUAGUGGGUUGUCUUUUCACUCUCUUCAUGAUGUCCUUGGAAGCACAAAAGUUGUACAUUUUGUGACAUCCCAUGUAUCUGUUUUUCUUUGGUUGCUUGUUUUUGGUGUCCUAGCUAAGAAACCACUGACAAGUUUGAAAUCACUAAAAUUUAACCCUAUGCUUUCUUCUAAGAGCUUUAUCAUUUUAUGCUUGCAUUUACAUCUUUGGUCUAUUUUGAGUUUUUUUGGUAUAUGAUAUAAGGUUUCCAUUUUUUCUUUUGCAUGUGGAUAUUCAGUUGCUUCAGCACCAUUAAUUGAAAAAAACUGCUUUUCCCCCAUUGAAUUAUUUUGACACCUAUGUCAAAAAUCAAUCGAUUGUAAUUUAUUUUCUAUUUUAAUAACUGUCCCUUUCUUCUUGACUACUUUGCAAUAAAAUAUGUAUUGCACUACAGUCAUUUGAAAACGGUAUGCUAUUUCCCCAGGUAAGACUACUUUCCCCUCAACAAGACCUUCUAUAUCAGGAAUUCUUAUUUAACUUUUAUCAUACUCAGUCCCAGAGAUUGACUGCUGUUCUUUUACAUUACAUGCAUAUAUACAUACAAGAUACAUCAAAUAUACAUUUUUGUCCAAGUGGGUAAAUGUUUGCUUAAGUCAAGACGAAGCCAAUUAUGGAAGGAAUUUCUAGGAUACAAGAGUACUGCCUGAACUUUAGUUUAAAAAAUUUAUACUGUAUUAGAUUCAAAAUUAUAAAAGGUUGACAAUGUAGUAUAGAUAUAAUAACCUCUCAUGCUGUCAGUGGCUUGAUUGUACCUGUAGUCACUCUACCACACAUUUGUGAAAAUUAAGAGAGAUUCAGUUGGGACUGGGGACUGGGCAAGGCAAUUUGGGCUACAACUGUGAACACAGGGUACUUCUGCCAGUGAUGUCUCCACCAUCCUCUCCAACAGUACCUCUCUAAGGUAAAGACUUAGCUUCUUUUCAUCUCCUAGACUUGAGGAUUUGACCAAUCCACAGGAUGAUGCAGUUUCAUGGACACAAACCCAUGAACAAAUCCUUGGUUCACUGCUUAGAGGUAUUCUUUGAAUAUUUUUAGGAGUAAAUUUCAGAUGUUGCCCCGAUCAUAAUUUUUACUUGUGAUAUUUCUGCAUGCAGUUGUUUCCUCUCAUAAUCGCUUGAGGAAAAACUAGGAAUGUGUCAAUGGAGCAAUAUGUCUAUCUUUCAAGAUAAAAUCAUUUUUGAACUUCUGUCUGCAUCUCAGAUUUUUUUUUCUAUGAACAUUAGUUUUGAUGUCUUCCCUGAGGAGACAAUAGAUAUCAUGUAAGGAACACUUACGCUCUCAUGACACAUCAGUUUGAUUACCCAGAAUUCCCUGGGACAGCCAGCCAGAAAGGGAGGGAGAAACAUGGCUGAUUUCCUCAUUAAUCCAGCAAGCAGGCUGUCAGACUCAAAGGCCUGGAUGUGUUUGCACAGCCAAAUGUCUGCUGUACAAGAUACAGAAGGAGCACAUUAAUUCAGGGAAGAGUUUUUUUUUCCAUAAUACGGUUUCCAGGAGGAACUUAAUAAUCAGGAUUCAUAGCUUGGGCAGAUCUCAGCAAUUCUUCAUCUUCUAACUACUGAAAAUGAUAAUUUGUUCAUGAUAAUCAUUUUAACAGCCAUUUUGAGUGUCGCUUUAGUCUCCAUAGACUUAAAACUACAAGGAGUUGUCUGAAGACAUUCUUAAGAGGUCUAUUAUUGAAAAUAGACAUUUUUCUGUAACUCUUUUCUUCAAGCUCUGAAUAUUCUUUUUUAGUCCUAGAUUGAAAGUGACGUAUUCUGGGCUGGACAUGGUGGUUCACGCCUGUAAUCCCAGCAUUUUGGGAGGCCAAGGCAGGCGGAUCACCUGAGGUCAGGGGUUCAAGACCAGCCUGGCCGACAUGGCGAAACCCCGUCUCUACUAAAAAUACAAAAAUUAUCUGGGUGUGGUGGUGCAAGCCUGUAAUUCCAGCUACUAAGGAGGCUGAGGCAAAAUUGCAUUUGAACGUGGGAGGUGGAGGUUGCAGUGAGCGAAGAUUGCGCCAUUGCACUCCAGCCUGGGCAACAAGAGUGAAACUCUGUCUCAAAAAAAGUGAUGUUGUCAAACUUGAUUGUGAAAUUUUUAUCCCUGAAUUUUUAACGUGGUAUAGUUGAGUUUUUGCUUUUAACUCAUCAUCACCAGAUGAAGAAUUUGCAAAUAGGAAUGUUUCUUGAAAUAGUUAUAGCCUGAAUAAAAUUAAAUGACAAUAAAAUUACACUAAGUUCUUAAGGGCUAUUUAGUAUUAUGAAAGCUAAUAUAUGAAAUAAUUCUCUAAAGAUUAUAAUUAUGAUAUAAUCUAAGCUCUACUGUCUUGUAUUAUUACUUAAAUUUUAUAACUGUCAUUUCUAAAAGGAUGAAUAUUCUUUCUAAAGUUAUCUGGACAACAUACUCAUAAUAUUUCUGUUAACUGUCAUUCUGUUUCUCAAUUUAUAUACUUGAAGGCUCUUAAUUUCUUUUUUUUUGCCUAUAAAAUUAGUAGCUAUUACAGUCUUUAUUGCAACAUUUUACUCUUGCAGUAAUAGCUAAAUAUUUCUACUUUAACAGAAUUUCUUUCUUUUUUUUUUUUUUUCUGAGACGGAGUCUCACUCUGUUGCCCAGGCUGGAUGGAGUGCAGUGGCGCGAUCUCGGCUCACUGCAAGCUCUGCCUCCUGGGUUCACGCCAUUCUCCUGCCUCAGCCUCCCGAGUAGCUGGGACUACAGGCGCCCGCCACCAUGCCCGGCUAAUUUUUUGUAUUUUUAGUAGAGAUGGGGUUUCACCAUGUUAGCCAGGAUGGUCUCGAUCUCCUGACCUCAUGAUCCACCUGCCUUGGCCUUCCAAAGUAUUGGGAUUACAGGCGUGAGCCACUGCUCCUGGCCAACUAACAGAAUUUCAAACUGUAAAGAAUCUUAGCAUAUUUUUAGUCUGAGUUGUGUCUUAGAAUUAUCUGUAAAAGUAAAUACUGUGGCAUUAAUUUAAAAACUGAAUUGCAUGUCUUGUGCAUAUCACUGAGAUGCAUUCUGCUUAGGCAUGAUGGGAAUCUACACGAUUAAAUGACAACAAUCACUCAUCAAAUCAAGGGUGUCAGAAACAACAUUGAAAUAGGCAUCAACUGUUCACCCCUGAGAAGGCCCAAGACCGUUCGGCUCUUUGGUCAUCAGUUCUUUCUCCUCUUUUCUCACUGUAGGGUCUUGGUUCUGGUCCAUAUAUUUUUAGAGACCUUUUUUUACUGUUGUCCUCAGCCAGGGAGGCUAUUGGUAUAUACAGCUGAUGCUUGAACAACACAAGGCUUAGGGGAGCUGACCUCCCACACAGCCAAAAAUCUGUGUAUAACUUUUAUCUCCCCAAAAACUUAACUAAUAACAGACUACUGUUAACUGGAAGCUUUACCAAUAAUAUAAAUGGUCAAUUAACAAAUAUUUUGUAUGUUAUGUGUAUUAUAUACUGUAUUCUUAAAAUAAGCUAGAGAAAAAAAUGUUAUGAAGAAAAAUCAUAAGAAAGAGAAAAGAUAUUUACUGUUCGUUUAGUGGAGGUGGAUCAUCCACGCCUUCUUCAGGUUGAGAAGGCUGAGGAGAGAAGGAUGAGGAGGGAUUGGUCUUGCUGUCUCAGGGGUGGCAGAGGAGGAAGGAAAUCCGGGUAUAAGUGGACCCACACAGGUCAAACCCCUGUUGUUCAAGGGUCACCUGCACUCUCAAUUUUUUUCUUCAUAUAUCUUUUUUUUUUUUUUUUUUUUGAGAUGGAGUCUCGCUCUGUCACCCAGGCUGGAGCGCAGUGGUGCAAUCUCAGCUCAUUGGAAGCUCCGCCUCCCAGGUUCACGCCAUUCUCCUGCCUCAGCCUCCCAAGUAGCUGGGACUACAGGUGCCCACCACCAUGUCCAGCUAAUUUUUUUGUAUUUUUAGUAGAGACAGGGUUUCACCUCUUCAUAUAUCUUUUUUUUUUUUAAAAAAAAAAAAAAAACUUGAUAGCUGAGUGAUACCUUGCCUUGGGAAGCCAUUUUUUUUUUUUUUGUUUUUGAGAUGGAGUUUCGCUCUUGUUGCCCAGGCUAGAGUGCAAUGGCGCAAUCUUGGCUCACUGCAACCUCUGCCUCCCUGGCUCAAGCAAUUUUCCUGCCUCAGCCUCCAGAGUAGCUGGGAUUACUCCACCACACUGAGCUAAUUUUGUAUUUUUUGGUAGAGACAGGAUUUCUGCAUUUUGGUCAGGCUAGUAUCGAACUCCUGACCUCAGGUGAUCUGCCAAACGUCAGCCUCCUAAAGUGCUGGGAUUACAGGCGUAAGCCACCAUGCCAGGCCAAAAAAAUAUAUAUAUAUAUGUAUUUUUUUUUUUUUGAGACAAGACCUUGCUCUGUCUCACCCAGGCUAGAGUACAGCAGCACAGUUGCAGCCCACUGCAGUCUCAGCCUCCUGUGCUCAAGUGAUCCUUCCCUCCCUCCUCAGCCUCCCAAGUAGCUGGGACCACAGGUGCACGCCACCACACUUGGCUAAUUUUUUAAAAUUAUUUUUAGAGAUGGGGGCCCAGGCUGGUCCCAAACCCCUAGGCUCAAGCAGUCUUUCCACCUCAGCCCCCCAAGUAGCUCAGACCACAGGAAUCUGCCACCACUUCUGGCUAAUUUUUUAAAUUAUUUGUAGAGAUGGGGUCUCCCUGUGUUGCCCAGGCUAGUCUCGAGCUCCUAGGCUCCAGCAGUUCUCCUGUCUCGGCCCCUGAGUAGCUGGUGUGCAUGUCUUCUCAUGGCAUGUAUCUAGAGCUUGGGGUCUUCACUGCCCCUGUUCAUCCAUCCCUUUUCCUCCCAGGUCUCAGGAUGCACCCUCACAGUCUCAUAGCUUGAUGCCUUCCACCCGGCAUCUUCCACUCUGUUCUUUCCUGGUCUUGAUCUUCUGAGUGAGUAACUCAAGAAUCCUAUGUGCCCACCUUUCUUCUCUUUGAAGAGUUGUUUAGUUGGGAAAUCAUGUUUUCUAGUUACAGGAAAUCUUUUUUUUCCCCUCCUCUGUAUGUUGCAGUAGAAUCCUCUUGAGCACUAUAAUUAUUUUAAUUAAAAUUCAAGUUGUAUGUAUCCUCCAGUAGCUCCCUCUUUCUGAGGGUGUGUCUGUUUCUUCUGGGCAGUCCCCCUUGUGUGUUGCUGAGACUCUUGGAAGGGGUUAUCACUCUUUGUUGGCUCAGGGGGCCUGGGUCUGGUGGAGCACUGAUGGGGUUAGUGGGCCUGCCCUGGUGGGAGAGAAGGCAGCUCUUCCUGUGUCCAGAGCGGACCCCGCAUGACCUUCCCUUUACUUGUGGGCUCUGGGACUUGCAGCGCCACUUGCUUCUUUGCCCCUGGAGCCUGGGAAUCCCGGCGGAGCACUCAGGAUGGGGCUGGUUUUCCUCCAGGGCCUGCAGGUCUCUCCAGGCCAGCCUCCCCUGAGGCCUUUGGCUCUAAGAUCCUCAUCCUGAGGCUCUGGUGCUGGUCCCUCCAGCUUGAGAGGGAAGAAGCCCUACACUGGACCUCUCCACUGGGAACUACACUGAGUGCACCCAGCCACUUCUUCUCAGUGCUGUAGAGACAGAAGGGGGACAAGUGGAGGGUGAGGGGCGAUGUUGGGCUCAACCAUCUUCACUCAGAUACCUGAAAGGCUUGAUCUCAAGGAAAAGAGUAAACAUUGACAGGGCAGCACUCUACUUAAAUUAUUUUAUUUCACACUUAGGUAUAAGUAUUGUUAUCCCCAUGAAACAGAUGUUGGGAGAUUAAGACACUUCGACUGUAAGUAUUAGUGGUAGAGUCAGGAAUUGAAUGGGGUGUGCUUUGGUCAAACUCUUAGGUGCUUUUGCAUCCACCCAUGUUUCUGUCAGAGAAGAGGCCUGGAGGCAUGCUUGCCAUAGACUAAGCACUUGGUGUUAGCUGUUCUUGUCUGGUAGGACUCUUAACGACCUCACAAUUACACACCGAUGGGCAGCUGGGAAGAAAAUGAUGGAGUGAUGUGCGGUUCACAAAGACUUCAUCUUGUAGUUGCUUGGAUGAAGACAAGGAUCCAUUAAAAGCAGGUCUCCCUAACAAACCUCAUUCUGGAACAUCAAGUUCAAUGGCCAUAUAAGCAGUUGCUCAAAGCUACCAUAUCACUGGCAGAGAGUCACAUGUGUUCUACCAGACUAAAUACAUAAUCACUGAGACAUAUUAAAAUGUUGCUGGCUGGGCACUGGGGCUCGUGCCUAUCAACCCAGUGCUUUGGAAGGCCAAGAUGGAAGGACUGCUUGAGCCAAGGAGUUUGAGACCAGCCUGGGCAACAUAGCGAGGGCAAGCCAAGGAGUUUGAGACCAACCUGGGCAACAAAAUCUGUACAAAAAAUUUUAAAAAUUAGCCAGGAGUGGUAGUAUGUACCUGUAGUCCUACCUACUUGGGAGGCUGAGGCAGCAGGAUUGCUUGAGCCCAGGAGUUUGAGGCUAAACUCAGAGGCAAAGCCCCCUCCCCCAACAGUGAGCUCUCUUCACACCACUGCACUCCAACUUUGGUGACAGAGCAAGACCCUGUCUAUAAAAAAAAAAGUUAAAAUGUUGCUAUUGCUAUCAUUAAAAGCUUUUUGUUUGGGUCUUUAGAGAUAGCUUCUCACUUUCUAUCUGGAGAAGCGUUCCUGGACCUUCCUUGAGGGCAGUGAGGAGAGGCGUUAGGCCUCGUGGACUUCUGUGGGCCUGCCUAGGCCGUGAACUCCCAGGCCCACUCCUUCUAGGGUGAUGACUUAUGUGUGAACACGGAUGUCAGUUUCAUUUAGAAUCAACUCACAUGGAAUCUGUAGCUCACAAGAAAUGUGAUUACAGAAUAUGCUUAGUAAUGCUUGGCAUGAUCAUUUCUUUUUUUUUAAGGAAAGACUGGAAAAAUCUGAGCCUGAAAGGCUUCAUCUGGACUCAAAGGCAAAACUGCCUUCUCUCCCCCUCCCUGUCACCCACCACUUCCUGGCAGCAGCUUUGGUAUCUGGGGCUGCUGCUGUCUUAACAGUGUGAGACACUUCAGGAGCCCUUGCCCUCUCCCUCCCCACAGCUCAUCAGAGUCCAUCAGCUCUCAAAGGCCAGCAGCCCUGCCUCUCCUUGCCUGGGAGCAGUUGUGGAUGUCAGCCCCGUUUGCUCUUGGUGUGCCAGGAGGUGUGUCAUAUGGGGAAGUGAGCAGCGCACCUGCCUGUGUGGUGUGUCGUAUGGGGAAGUGAGCAGCGCACCUGCCUGUGUUGCCAGGGCGCCUCCAAGCCCGGGUGCAGGAGAAAACCGACCCCAGGAAAGGAAGCCCAGUGACUAGAGGUCAGCGAAUGUGGCCGGAGGCCUGAGGUCUCUGAUGCGGGGAAAGGCCGGGCAGCAGAAACCCUAGAUUAUGAAGGGUAAAAUCUGAUUACUUGCUGAGGCCAGUGUGUUUUCAGUGUUUCUUUAAUCCACUGGAAGUCAGAGGUGAGUGAAAAUUUCAUAAAAGAAUUAUUUUUUCCUUCUGGGUCUUGCUGCCUUUUGAUCUUGGCAUAGGACAAGGGUCUGCUCAAGGGGCGUUUCUCGGAUCUUUCCUUAGUGCUGUUUGCUAUUCGCGCUUCUCCCUGGCCCCAAGCAACAGGCCAGGUCAGGCCCUCAUGUGACAAGCUGGGAGUUCCCCAUGAGAAGAGCCACCUCAACGGGGAUGAGCAGUCCCGGAGCACGUACUGCCUGUUGGAGGCCGUGUUAUACACAUGCGCAUAUGCUGACCAGCCAUGAGCGCCACCUGUGUCCAGUGUGCUUUGUCUGUGCCCCACAACAUGUGAGGGGUGGAGCCAGGAUGUGCUCCUGUGACCCAGGGGAGCCAGUGACCCAGGUGCCAAGGCCAGCGUCCUUAACUCCCACCACGCAGCUCCCCUAAUGGUGAAUGCGGCCCAAUGCCUGUCCUGACCGUCUGUGUAGGGCUGUUCCUUCUGGUAAAUGUUAGGUAUCAGGUGGGAGGGACAGUGAAUGAGGAAGGGGACAAGGACAGUCUCCAGGUAACUGUAGAUAAUAUGCGUGCUUCUCAGGAUGGUGAUACAAUCUCAUGGGCUUUCGUAUCUAGGUCAGAAUUCUGACCUGUUUGUAUUUAUGUGUUCUCUGAGUCCGUUUUCUCAUUUAUAAAGUAGAGAAACUUCAACCUGACUUACUACAAGGCAGUUGUGAACAUUGAAUUGUGCAGCCUUUUUGUCAGAGAUGGGAUCGUGCUAUGUUGCUCAGGCUAGAGUGCAGUGUCUAUUCACAAGUGCAGUCAGCACACUACAGCCUAGAACUCUGGUGAGUGAUCCACACACCUCAGCCUCCUAAGUAGCUGGGACUGCUGACAUGUGCCACCGUGUCCAGCUUAAAUUGUGCAACAUUUAUAAAACCUCUUUCUUAGUGUCUGGCACAUGAGAAGUACUGAAUAAGUAUUGGCACUUCUCCUGCUACUGUUCUUUGGUGACCACGCAGUGGAUAGUGAAGCACCUAGGUUUUAAGUCUUUACUGAGCACCCAUUAUGUCUCAGGCACUGUUUUGGGCUUUUAGAAUACAUCAGUGAACCAAAUAGAUUCUGGCCUCCAUGAAGCACACAUUCUAGAGUGGGUAACAGACAAUAAGCAGUGAACCAAUAAGCAGAUGGCGUGUUAGAAAGGAAAUGUUGUAGGAGAAGGAAACAGUAGGCAGGUUUAGGGGGCUUGAGAGUGUGGGGGAGGGGUGGAAGGCGUCUGUUGCAGAAUUAAAUAGGGUGGGCAGGCCUGAUUCAGAAGGUAAGAUUUGAGCAAAGCUCCCAGGCGGUGAAGGAGUUGGCCCAGCGCAUUUCUGGCAAGUGGAGAUCCCUCCCAUCCAAGUGAGGUGCCUGACAGUGUGAGGCCCGAGGCAGGAGUGUGCCUGGUGGGCGAGGCGCGGAGGAAGGAGGAAGGCGGUCAGAGAGCUGCAGGGUGGAGGCGGGGCACAGAGGGCCUUGCAGGCCGUGGGAAGAACUUGGCUUGCACUUUGAAUGAGAUGAGGAGUCUUUGGUGGAUUUUUAGCAAAGGGAUAACGUAGCCCUGUGUAAGUUUUAAAGAGAUGCUGUGAGUGCCAGGUUGAGAACAGACCCUAAGAGGACAAGCGUGGGAUCCGGCUCCCGCCGUAACCUGGCAAGAGAUGGUGGAGACGAUGAGACGCCUUCAGAUUCCCGACGUGUUGUGAAGCUAGGACCAGCUGGCUGCCCUGAUGGAUCGCGUGUUUCCACCGUGGGAACUGAGUGUUGGAAGGAUCUGCGGCAACGUGGGCAGGAGAAAUAGGCGUCAUUUUUAAGAAGACAGGAGGACACAGACACACAUGGGGGAGCCCAUGCGAAGACACGGAGACCGCCCUGUGCGAGCCAGGAGAGAGGCCUCAGCAGGAAACAAGCCUGCCAACACCUUGAUCUCACACUUCUCGCCUCCAGCACUGUGAGAUAAUAAAGUUCUGUUGUUUAAGCCAC